CUAUGGACCGCUGGAAAAGCGGAGAGACUGGCUGUUCCGGGGGCCUCAGGUAGCUACAUCUACACACCACUUGCAGUACAAAAUUCCAAACAGCAACUCACCUACUGCGGAGGCGGAUUGGCUGCGCUGGGGACACCUGCCGGCGUGCUUAUAGAAAAGAGUGAUUGGGAAGGCGAGGCCGAGGGAGUGCGCCAACCUUACCCAGGCACAGCGCUCCUCCUUGACGCCGCGAGCAUGACCCUGUCUCACUGGGCCCGCUGCCCACGGCGGUCCUUGCCUGCUUCUAUUCUCCCGGUUUGCCCAGUCCGGAGUAAUGGAAAGCGAAAGCGUCCUACUUUCCGGUAGGUUGGGCUGGGCAGGGCUGGAGAGGGAGCGGGAAAGCGCAACUCAGGAGUGGGAGGAGCUGGGACGCUGGCGGCAGAGCCACUGUGUCAGCUUGAGUCUCGCGCUAGAGAAGCGGAGGUGGAAGUCGGGGCGCAGGAAUGUGGCUGUCCCCUUCUAUAAAUCACGGCUGGGGAGGAGGCGCGGAGGCACCAGGCUGUUUUCUGCAGCGCGCCAUCUCCUGUGCACACAGGAGGCCCUGAGGCUAGCUCGGUGGGUGGGGAGAUUCAGGCACUUCCCAGGGGUCCCCGGCAUGCCCAGCAGGUGGGAUAGGCCCUGCGACUAGGUCAAUCACGAAGAAGCCAUGGAGGCAGGAAGAGUAAACGCCCUUGUCAUAAAUCGAUUCUUCAAAACGUUCAAUAUGUGCAGACUUUUAUGGUAUGAUGAAGAUGAUAUGCGCUCUAGGAAUUUGCGUCUCAAAGCUGAAGAUCAAAGAAGAUUGGAGAGGUUUUGCAAGGCAGCCUGGUGUUUAAAGACCUGUGUUCUGAAUAGCUGGAUAUUGGAGAAGGGGAUCAGGGUCACAAAGGGGACAACUUUUAUGCAAUUGAUAGAGGAGUAUAUGAUUUAUAUAAACUAAUAUGUUUGAAAGGUUUGUUAGUAACUACAAAACACAUGGGAAUUGGCCUUAAAUGCCUGUACAGUACACCAAAAGAAGCUAAAAUUACUGCUUCAUCUUCUGUGGGUUCUCUGGGUUUUGGAUAGAGUAACCUUAAAAAAUAUUUGAAUGCAGACUUUUUCUAUGAGACCCACUUUUGGAAUCUUGUGCAUUCUACAUUCAGAAAGGGUAAUCUCAGCUAGUACCCAGUAUCCAAACAGUAGCAGCAAUAGUUCUACCCCAGAGACAAUUUUCUCUCUCUCCUUCCUUCCUUCCUACCUUCCUUCCUUCCUUUCCUUCUUUUUCUUUCUUUCUCUUUCCUUCUUUCUUUCUUUUCUUCUCUCCUUCCUUUUCUUUUCUCCUUCCAUCUUUUUUUGUCUUUCUCUCUCUCUUUUCUCCCUCCCCCCUCCCUUCUUCCUUCUUUCUUUUUUGCCUCUUUUACAUUUCAAUUUGUAAGGAAAUAGUGACUAAAGGCCGAUAGGCUUAACAGUCUAAAACACGGGUGUUAAGAAUUGAAUAUACUAAAAAAAAAAAAAAAAAAAAAAAAAUUGAAUACACUGAUAAAAUUUGUUUC